UGAAUAUGGGGGGACCAUCCUCCAAGGCUAAAUACUCCUGACUGACCGAUAGUGAACCAGUACCGUGAGGGAAAGGCGAAAAGAACCCCUGUGAGGGGAGUGAAAUAGAACCUGAAACCGUGUACGUACAAGCAGUAGGAGCACCUUCGUGGUGUGACUGCGUACCUUUUGUAUAAUGGGUCAGCGACUUAUAUUCAGUGGCAAGGUUAACCGUAUAGGGGAGCCGUAGCGAAAGCGAGUCUUAACUGGGCGCUCAGUCUCUGGAUAUAGACCCGAAACCGGGUGAUCUAGCCAUGGGCAGGUUGAAGGUUGAGUAACAUCAACUGGAGGACCGAACCGACUAAUGUUGAAAAAUUAGCGGAUGACUUGUGGCUAGGGGUGAAAGGCCAAUCAAACUCGGAGAUAGCUGGUUCUCCCCGAAAGCUAUUUAGGUAGCGCCUCGGACGAAUACUACUGGGGGUAGAGCACUGUUAAGGCUAGGGGGUCAUCCCGACUUACCAACCCUUUGCAAACUCCGAAUACCAGUAAGUACUAUCCGGGAGACACACGGCGGGUGCUAAC
rnacentral:rRNA from 1 species